GACGAACGCUGGCGGCGUGCUUAACACAUGCAAGUCGAACGGAAAGGCCCUGCUUUUGUGGGGUGCUCGAGUGGCGAACGGGUGAGUAACACGUGAGUAACCUGCCCUUGACUUUGGGAUAACUUCAGGAAACUGGGGCUAAUACCGGAUAGGAGCUCCUGCUGCAUGGUGGGGGUUGAAAAGUUUCGGCGGUUUGGGAUGGACUCGCGGCUUAUCAGCUUGUUGGUGGGGUAGUGGCUUACCAAGGCUUUGACGGGUAGCCGGCCUGAGAGGGUGACCGGCCACAUUGGGACUGAGAUACGGCCCAGACUCCUACGGGAGGCAGCAGUGGGGAAUAUUGCACAAUGGGCGGAAGCCUGAUGCAGCAACGCCGCGUGCGGGAUGACGGCCUUCGGGUUGUAAACCGCUUUCGCCUGUGACGAAGCGUGAGUGACGGUAAUGGGUAAAGAAGCACCGGCUAACUACGUG
rnacentral:rRNA from 1 species